GGAAACUUGGCUCUGAUGCAGUCUACUGUCUGCAGCAGCAGAAUAAAGGAACUAGGGGCUGAUGUUUGGACUUACAAGCUUGAGAGGAAGGACAUGAGGACACGAAGACACAGGUUAUGAAAUGCCUGGACACAGGAGGAGGGGUGGAUGUCGUAUACUUAGACUUCAGGAAGGCCUUCGAUACUGUAUCCCACCCCAUACUGGUGAACAAGUUAAGAGGCUGUGACUUGGAUGACUACACAGUCCGUGCUAAGCAAGCUGGUAUAUCCUUGCCUUGGAUGUGAAGAGACCUGCCACAAGUGGAACUGGCCUGUCUGCAGAGAAGAGAAGUCAGAUACUAUGGAUGCCCUCCCCUAAGUGGCGAGAGGGCUAAAUCACUCUGUGAAACAAAGUGGUGGUGAAAAGUUUGUUAAACAAAGUUAUGCAUUUGCAACUAAGUCUGCUUUUCUGUUACCUAGGAACAAGUUACC